UUUACCGGGCCGGGCUGGCAGGGGUUUGGCUCCGGCAGCGGCGCUGCGAUGUGGUUCGAGAUCCUGCCCGGGAUCGGCGUCAUGGCCGUGUGCUUGGUCAUCCCCGGCAUAGCGACGGCGCACAUCCACAGGUUCAGUAACGGCGGCAAGGAAAAAAGGGUUGCCUAUUAUCCGUAUCAGUGGAGUUUGAUGCAAAGAGAUAGGCGGGUCUCUGGAGUUAAUCGUUACUAUGUGUCAAAGGGUUUGGAGAAUAUCGAUUAAGGAAGCAUUUUCCUGAUUGAUGAAAAAUAACUCAGUCAUACUCAUCUACCCCUUCUAGAAGGUUAUGCAGUGUAUUAAUGUAGUGCAUAAUAAAAACAACAAAAAAGUAAAA